rnacentral:rRNA from 1 species
GUUUAAAGUCAUACUGCCCUGACCAUUGCCGCUCUCUGAUUUCAGAAGCUAAGCAGAGUUGGGCCUGACCAGUACUUAGAUGAAAGUAUCCCAGACCAGCUUGGGAUGCAUGAGAUA